rnacentral:lncRNA from 10 species
AAUCAGCUCUCUGUAAAAUGGACCAAUCAGCAGGAUGUUGGUGGGGCCAGAUAAGGGAAUAAAAGCAGGCCAACAGAGCCAGCAGCAGCAACCCGCUCGGGUCCCCUUCCAUACUGUGGAAGCUUUGUUUUUUCACUCUUCGCAAUAAAUCUUGCUGCUGCUCACUCUUUGGGUCCGUGCCACCUUUAAGAGCUGUAAUACUCACUGCAAAGGUCUGCAGCUUCACUCCUGAAGUCAGCGAGACCAAGAACCCACCAAUUCCAGACACAUUUUGGCGACCCAGAUGGGACUAUCACCUAUCGCCAAGUGGUGAGACUAUCGCCUAUCGCCAAGCGAAUGGAGGCCAUCAAGCUAUAGAUGGUCUUACAAAUGGAACCCCAAAUGAGCUCAACUAACAACUUCUACCGAGGACCCCUGGACCAACCCGCUGGCCCUUCCACUGGCCUAAAGAGUUCCCCUCUGGAGGACACUACAACUGCAGGGCCCCUUCUUCGCCCCUAUCCAGCAGGAAGUAGCUAGAGUGGUCAUCAGCCAAAUUCCCAACAGCAGUUGGGGGUAUCCUGUUUAGACGGGGGAUUGAGAGGUGACAACGUGCUAGCAGCCCUCGCUCGCUCUCGGCGCCCCCUCGGCCACGGCGUCGGCUCUGGCUGUGCUCGAGGAGCCCUUCAGCCCACGGCUGCACUGUAGGGGCCUCCUCUCUGGGGCUGGCCGAGGCCAGAGCCGGCUCCCUCUGCUCACAGGGAGGUGUGAAGGGAGAGGUGCAGGCGGGAGCCAGCGUGGGUUCCGGGUGGGCGCAGGCUCGGCAGGCCCCGCACUUGGCGCCACCAGCCAGCGCCUGCUGGGCUUGAUCGGGGGACAAGCUCCCACUGGGCUGUCGGAGUGCCCAGGCUAGGUGCCGCAAAGUCCCGCAGCCAGUGCCAUUGAGAGGUGAAGCCAGCUGGGCUUCUGGGUCGGGUGGGGACCUGGAGAACUUUUCUGUCUAGCUAAAGGUUUGUAAAUGUACCAAUCAGCACUCUGUGUCUACCUAAAAGUUUGUAAACACACCAAUCAGCACUCUGUGUCUAGCUAAUGGUUUGUAAACGCACCAGUCAGCGUUCUGUGUCUAGCUAAUCAGGUAGGGGACUUGGAGAACUUUUGUGUCUUGCUAAGGGAUUGUAAACGCACCAAUCAGCACUCUGUGUCUAACUAAAGGUGUAAACGCACCAAUCAGCGCUCUGUCAAAACGGACCAAUCAGCUCUCUGUAAAAUGGACCAAUCAGCUCUCUGUAAAAUGGACCAAUCAGCAGGCUGUGGGUGGGGCCAGAUAAGGGAAUAAAAGCAGGCCACCCAAGCCAGCAGCACCAACCUGCUGGGUCCCCAUCCAUGCUGAGGAAGCUUUGUUCUUUCGUUCUUUGCAAUAAAUCUUACUGCUGCUCACGCUUUGGGUCCGUGCCACCUUUAAGAGCUGUAACACUCAC